GAAUUUUAUAUAAUUAUUUAUUUUUAUUUUAUUUGUUAGGAAAGAUAUAAAUAAUUAAAUUUAGUUGGGAGGAUUAUUAAAUUAGAUUAACUUUAAUUAUAAUUUAAGACAUGAAUUAAUGAAUAAAUUUAGUUUAGAAUGAUUUGUAAAUUAAAUAAGAAUUAAUUACCUUAGGGAUAACAGCGUAAUAUUUUUAUCAAGUUCUUAUUAGUAAAAAUGAUUGC
rnacentral:rRNA from 1 species